rnacentral:rRNA from 1 species
AUUGAACGCUGGCGGCAUGCUUUACACAUGCAAGUCGAACGGUAACAGGCCGCAAGGUGCUGACGAGUGGCGAACGGGUGAGUAAUGCAUCGGAACGUGCCCAGUCGUGGGGGAUAACGCAGCGAAAGCUGCGCUAAUACCGCAUACGAUCUAUGGAUGAAAGCGGGGGACCGUAAGGCCUCGCGCGAUUGGAGCGGCCGAUGUCAGAUUAGGUAGUUGGUGGGGUAAAGGCUCACCAAGCCGACGAUCUGUAGCUGGUCUGAGAGGACGACCAGCCACACUGGGACUGAGACACGGCCCAGACUCCUACGGGAGGCAGCAGUGGGGAAUUUUAGACAAUGGGCGCAAGCCUGAUCCAGCAAUGCCGCGUGCAGGAAGAAGGCCUUCGGGUUGUAAACUGCUUUUGUACGGAACGAAAAGGCUCUGGUUAAUACCCGGGGCUCAUGACGGUACCGUAAGAAUAAGCACCGGCUAACUACGUGCCAGCCGCCGCAGUAAUAC